UAGGGAAUCUUGCGCAAUGGGCGAAAGCCUGACGCAGCGAUGCCGCGUGAGUGAGGAAGGCCUUCGGGUUGUAAAACUCUGUUCUUAGGGAAAAACGACUUAUGGUUUAAUAGACUAUAGGUGUGAUGGUACCUGAGGAGAAAGCACCGGCUAACUUCGUGCCGGCAGCCGCGGUAAUACGAAGGGUGCAAGCGUUGUUCGGAAUUAUUGGGCGUAAAGGGCGAGUAGGCGGAUAUGAAAGUCAGGCGUGAAAUCUUAGGGCUCAACCCUGAAACUGCGUCUGAAACUCCAUGUCUAGAAUCUCAGAGAGGGAAGGGGAAUUUCGCGUGUAGGAGUAAAAUCCGUAGAUAUGCGAAGGAACACCGGAGGCGAAGGCGCCUUCCUGGAUGAGUAUUGACGCUGAGGCGCGAAAGCGUGGGGAGCAAACAGG
rnacentral:rRNA from 1 species